rnacentral:misc_RNA from 1 species
GCCAUAUGCAUCCACAUUUUAGCUAUUCUGAAAUUGAAUCUGAGUGCAGUUUAUCAAUCGCAUAUAUAUAUUCGACUACAAGCAGUCACAUAAGGAUUUAUGUUGAUACCUGGAAGGAUGAGGUACCAAGCACAACGCGUUUAGUAUAAAAUGGAAGGUUGGUUACUAACAUGGCUAGCAGUAAACAGAUCAAAACUAUCGUCGUAUGGGUUUUAUUUUUGAGCUUUUUCCUCUUCUGUAGUUUCCUCCUCCUCUUCAGCAUGUUCUAUUUCACUGGCUAACUUCACCAGAUCUUGGACAAGGAUUUUUCCUUCUCUGUCCUUGGAAAGGUUGGUUAUGAGCUCCUGAAUACCCUCCUUCGCUAAUGUAUCCUUGAGGUAUGAAGCAGCAGAUGCCACCUCCUCUGGAGUGACUUUUCCAUCAUAAUCCCUAUCCAGUAACCGCCAACGAUCACCAAUCUUGGCAUCCACGUCAUCAAUUUCCUUUUCAAGUUUU